rnacentral:rRNA from 1 species
GAUGAACGCUGGCGGCGUGCCUAAUACAUGCAAGUCGAGCGAACGGACGAGAAGCUUGCUUCUCUGAUGUUAGCGGCGGACGGGUGAGUAACACGUGGAUAACCUACCUAUAAGACUGGGAUAACUUCGGGAAACCGGAGCUAAUACCGGAUAAUAUUUUGAACCGCAUGGUUCAAAAGUGAAAGACGGUCUUGCUGUCACUUAUAGAUGGAUCCGCGCUGCAUUAGCUAGUUGGUAAGGUAACGGCUUACCAAGGCAACGAUGCAUAGCCGACCGGAGAGGGUGAUCGGCCACACUGGAACUGAGACACGGUCCAGACUCCUACGGGGGGCAGCAGUAGGGAAUCUUCCGCAAUGGGCGAAAGCCUGACGGAGCAACGCCGCGUGAGUGAUGAAGGUCUUCGGAUCGUAAAACUCUGUUAUUAGGGAAGAACAUAUGUGUAAGUAACUGUGCACAUCUUGACGGUACCUAAUCAGAAAGCCACGGCUAACUACGUG